AGUGAACGCUGGCGGUAGGCCUAACACAUGCAAGUCGAACGGCAGCACAGUAAGAGCUUGCUCUUACGGGUGGCGAGUGGCGGACGGGUGAGGAAUACAUCGGAAUCUACUUUUUCGUGGGGGAUAACGUAGGGAAACUUACGCUAAUACCGCAUACGACCUACGGGUGAAAGCAGGGGAUCUUCGGACCUUGCGCGAUUGAAUGAGCCGAUGUCGGAUUAGCUAGUUGGCGGGGUAAAGGCCCACCAAGGCGACGAUCCGUAGCUGGUCUGAGAGGAGGAUCCGCCACACUGUAACUGAGACACGGUCCAGACUCCUACGGGAGGCAGCAGUGGGGAAUAUUGGACAAUGGGCGCAAGCCUGAUCCAGCCAUACCGCGUGGGUGAAGAUGGCCUUCGGGUUGUAAAGCCCUUUUGUUGGGAAAGAAAAGCAGCAGGUUAAUACCCCGCUGUUCUGACGGUACCCAAAGAAUAAGCACCGGCUAACUUCGUG
rnacentral:rRNA from 1 species